UUUGAUUUGGCAGAUCUAAUGCGUUUAAUUUAGGAUUAAACUAUAACUUUUUGUUAAUC
rnacentral:tRNA from 1 species